rnacentral:lncRNA from 1 species
GGGAUUUUUUUUAUUUUUUUGGGUUUUUGAUUUUUGAUUUUUAUAUUUUUCUGAUUCAUUUUAAGUUUUUUUUAUUUUUAUAUAUUUAUAAUUUUUUUUGUGGUCACAGCUUUAAAGGCUAACGUCUACGAACACUCUAACAUGAUGAAGAGUCUGAUUAUGAUGCUCUUUUUCGGGUUAAUUACUCACUUGCCCAACAUAGUAACCUUCCUGACCCACAAAUUAUUUAAAGAAUUAAUUACAUAUUAACACCUCCAAACGUUACAAAAUGAAAAGUAGAUACCCUAGAAGGUGAUUUUAAACUAUUAGUACUUAACUAUGUUAUUUUGUGCAAACCACACGGACUAACUGUGUAAUUAACUCUUACUUUAAAUAGAUAUCUUAAAAGCCAUCCUGAUUUAUCCUUAAUUUUUUUCAAACCCAUCUGACCCAUUCUCAUUUUUAAAAUAAACCAAAAUAACUCACAUAGAUUUUUAUUAUCAGGCUUAAGCUACAUCCCACAAAUAAUUAACAUAUGCUUGUCAGUUUUUUCUCUUGUUGAUUGCAAUAUGUACAUUAAAACACACCUACUGAAGAUGAUGAAGCUGACUGAUGUGAUGUGAUGCGAAUGAAUCAAAUCAAGCUUCAACUUGUUCAAUUCAGUUUUCAAUCUGGUUAAUUGUAUUUCUGUCUCAUACAGUUUCUAUGUAUGUGUUCAACUUUGUUAUAUUUGAAUGGAUUUUUUCUUUUUGUUUGCUUUAAUAUUAUGACCACCGCUUUUGAUUUGUUAUUAUAGAUCCUUUGAGCUUUUGACUUUUACUUCAGAAAUAUUAUGAUCUUUUUGAUUACGUGACUGAAAAUAUAACUAACGUUUAAAAUGGACGAUUAUCCAUCCCACGGACUAAAAUUACGACGAUCUUGUUGUAGAUAGUAUAUGGAUGAUAUCCGUAAUUUUUAAACCUAAGAACGAAAUGUAAUUAGACUCAAAGAUAUUAAAUUACAAUAAUAUCUAAAAGACCAAAGUGUAAGUAAAACAUUUUCUUAUGUACAAAGAUCACAACUUAGGGAUAGAGAUAAAGCGCGCCUAUAUCACACCCUUCUUAGACUCUACUAAUAGUUUUUCUAUUUGUAGGAUUUAGUUGGUACGAUUAAUUGAUUGAUUGACAAAGAUCACAACUUACUAAAAGGGGAUCAUACAGAAGAAAUAACAUCUUCUGAAAACUUGUUCCAAACAAUCAUCACCUAAUGAAACCCUCCAAAACCGCCAUGGAUCUCCUUCUGGCCGACCGCGACUUUACCGUCUCUUUUACCCCUAUGAGAGUGUCGUUUCUUGAGCACCACCACCGGGGAACACCCUUCUUCAAAACCAUACUUCAUCUUCUUCAAUGACUCCUUCACUCUCUCAACCGGAAAAUUCAACACCGCCAACGACCCUCUCAUUGUAAACGCGGCUUCAUCGUACGCCAUAGCGGCCGCCUCUGCGCUAUCAAACGUCCCAAGCCAUACACGGACACCGUGCCUUGUGGAAUCCCUUAUCUCCGCAGCAAACUUCCCCCACGGCCGUCUCCUAACGCCUCGGUAUGACUUGUUGGUGCUGGUUUUUAACUUAUUAACUGGUUCGACGUCCUUGACUUGUUGAUCCAGAUCUACCAUUGAUGCAACUACAAGCAUGUCAAACAGUAGCAUAUCUUGGGAGUCGUUGAGAUCAAAAGGGAGUGACUCUUGCCGGAAUAUACGAUCAUCCGGGGAGUAAUUGGAGCUGUGGUGAUGGGUGCAAGAAGCAUCCAUGAAUAAUUAUUGUUAUUGU